rnacentral:tRNA from 1 species
GAUUGGGGAAACUACCCCAAUCAAGAAAUAAAAUUUAUAUAGUUUAAAUAAAACUCUACAUUUUCAUUGUAAAAUUAAAUCAUUUUUUAUA